AUGCUGUGAAAGAAAGAGCUGUCAGUCACUGGGGUUCUCUAAAGACAGUCGCCUGGGUUCAUGUUUUACAUACCCAGUGUAAAAUGCAAGGUAAAUGUGAGGUAAAUGUGAGGUUAAUGUGAGGUAAAUGUGAUGUAACUGUGAGGUAACUGUGAGGUAAAUGUGAUGUAAAUGUGAGGUUAAUGUGAGGUAAAUGUGAUGUAAGUGUGAGGUUAAUGUGAUGUAAAUGUGAGGUAAAUGUGAGGUUAAUGUGAAGUAAAUGUGAUGUAAAUGUGAGGUAAAUGUGAUGUAAAUGUGAGGUUAAUGUGAGGUAAAUGUGAUGUAAGUGUGAGGUUUAUGUGAGGUAAAUGUGAGGUAAAUGUGAGGUAAAUGUGAGGUAAAUCUUUGAUUAGAUUAGAGCAAGCCUGGAUCCAUGAUGCUCUUCACUUCAGUGAUUCUUAUUCACUCUGCAUGAUGAAAUGCCUCCUU
ensembl:lncRNA